rnacentral:rRNA from 1 species
CCUACGGGAGGCAGCAGUAGGGAAUCUUCCACAAUGGACGCAAGUCUGAUGGAGCAACGCCGCGUGAGUGAAGAAGGCUUUCGGACCGUAAAGCUCUGUUGUUGGUGAAGAAGGAUAGAGGUAGUAACUGGCCUUUAUUUGACGGUAAUCAACCAGAAAGUCACGGCUAACUACGUGCCAGCAGCCGCGGUAAU